UGCGUAGGUGGUUGUUUAAGUCAAAUGUGAAAUCCCCGAGCUUAACUUGGGAAUUGCAUUCGAUACUGGUUGGCUAGAGUAUGGGAGAGGAUGGUAGAAUUCCAGGUGUAGCGGUGAAAUGCGUAGAGAUCUGGAGGAAUACCGAUGGCGAAGGCAGCCAUCUGGCCUAAUACUGACACUGAGGUGCGAAAGCAUGGGGAGCAAACAGGAUUAGAUACCCUCGUA
rnacentral:rRNA from 1 species